GUGCUCACUUUGGUAGCACAUACAGUAAAAUUGGAAAAAUACAAACAAGAUUAGCAUGGCCACUGCACAAAGAUGACUGUGAAUUAGGGGAACAUUCCAUGUUCUA